rnacentral:rRNA from 1 species
GUCCUAGCUGUAAACGAUGUAUACUAGGUGUAGUUGGACUCAACCCCAACUGUGCCGAAGCUAACGCGAUAAGUAUACCGCCUGGGGAGUACGCUCGCAAGAGUGAAACUCAAAAGAAUUGACGGGGACCCGCACAAGCAGUGGAGCAUGUGGUUUAAUUCGAUGCAACGCGAAGAACCUUACCUGGGUUUGACAUGUUAUGGACAGCUCUGGAAACAGAGUCUCCCUUAUGGGCCAUAACACAGGUGCUGCAUGGCU